UACGGAGGGGGCUAGCGUUGUUCGGAAUUACUGGGCGUAAAGGGCGCGUAGGCGGGAUGGCAAGUCGGUCGUGAAAUCCCUCGGCUCAACUGAGGAUCGUCGAUCGAUACUGCCGUUCUUGAGGAUUGCAGAGGAGACUGGAAUUCCCGGUGUAGCGGUGAAAUGUGUAGAGAUCGGGAGGAACACCGGUGGCGAAGGCGGGUCUCUGGGCAAUUCCUGACGCUGAGGCGCGAAAGCGUGGGGAGCAAACGGG
rnacentral:rRNA from 1 species